GCAACGCGAAAACCUUACUACCCUUGACAUGUCUGGAACCUUGCUGAGAGGCGAGGUGGCCUUCGGGAGCCAGAACACAGGUGUUGCAUGGCUGUCGUCAGCUCGUGUCGUGAGAUGUUGGGUUAAGUCCCGCAACGAGCGCAACCCUUGUCAUUAGUUGCCAUCAUUUAGUUUGGGCACGUCUAAUGAGGACUGCCGGUGGACAAACCGGAGGAAGGUGGGGAUGACGUCAAGUCCUCAUGGCCCUUACCAUCCCGGGCUACACACGUGCUACAAUGGCAGGUACAGAGGGCUGCGAAGCCGCGAGGUGGAGCGAAUCCCAGAAAACCUGUCUCAGUCCGGAUUGAAGUCUGCAACUCGACUUCAUGAAGGCGGAAUCGCUAGUAACCGCGAAAUCAGCAGGUCGCGGUGAAUACGUUCCCGGGCCUU
rnacentral:rRNA from 1 species